rnacentral:lncRNA from 1 species
CGCUCGGGAGAGCAGCUGCGGGAGCUGCGCCUGCAGGCUGGCCGGGUGCGCGGCGCUCGAGCCGGGCGGCGUUUUCCUGGGACCUUCACGGAGCAGAGCGACGAGGCUACAUACAGCGGCCGAGCUUAUCCCUUCUUUAAUCCUCGCUGUAAAGCACCGUAGUGCAGCUUCCUGCUUAACUCGGUCGUCUGAGCUUCCAGCUCACAUUUUGAGCCCAGUGCAGCCGCCAUCUUCCGGAAAUGCUGAUGGUGGUUAGUCUGCGCCCAGUGGAAAUAACAAUUUUUUUGCUUUUGUUUUUGAAGCGGUCUUGCAUUUGGCCCGAUCUUUUUGAGGACUUGGGUUACAGAAUUACAUCAUGCCUGGUUAGUUUCAUGAUGCUCAGUUUGGGGAAGUAGAGCAGUGUCCUUGUUGAAAUAUAAUCUCUUUAGUCCAGCCUUUUCUCACUUAAAUUAGAUUGAUGGAUUAAAUGAGAUAAUGUAUACCAGAUAUGCAGUAGUAACUAACAGAGAAAGAAGGGAAUGGUGGGUGGGGGAGUUGCGGGGGCGGGGGGAUGAUUAACUUUGCUGGGUAUCACCACCUAAAACAUGAAGGUAUGGAGAAGCAUGCUGUAGCACAUGAGUGUGUAUUUUGACAGCUCUUCAGUAUAACUGAUCCCUCCAAAGCAGACUUUACUGGCUUCUGGUUUCUAAGGGAUGCUUCUUUUUUGUGUGGCUUCCUUUUUUGCAGGUCCAUACUGAAUAAAUAUGCUGUAGGGUGAUGGACAAGGCCAAGUUGGGUAGUCCUACCAUGAUUUUAGUUUACAGGGAAAAAUCAGGCUGAGUUUAAGUACAUUGUAGGUUUCUAGGUGUUAGAAGUUUUCACACAUGUGCCCGUUUAUUUUUAGGGCGCGGCUUCACUGUUUGGCUAGGUGGUUUAGAACUGGGUAUAGAUUAGGGGACAAAAGCAGGAGUGAAGUCGCUUGGGGUUUGUUGUUGUUUUGCUGUUUUAGGUGCACUAACGAUGUAAUAAUGUGUUUGGGAUAACUUAGGAGGCAGCGAUGAAGAUUUAAACAGUAAAAGAUUAUUACACAAAAAAUAACCCCAAACUUGUGCUUUACCGCGGACCCACCAGGUUGGAAUAUACAGGGAACAGUUGGACCAUCCCUGUUUCAGGCUGGGGGUUUGAUUUCUUUACACUUGCUGUCUACAAAUCUCUGCAGGACACCAAACCCACGACUGAAUGACACAGCCAGCAUCCACAAUUCACACAGAGAGGUAAAAAUGUCAGAUCCCCACACCAGUUGAACCAGAAGUUCUUUGUACAUUAGAACAUUUAAUGGGAAACUGCAUAUGAACUGUAAAGUGUAAAUACAGUCUGAUUGGGAUUAGAAGAGCCCUCUUGUUUAAAGCCUUGUUGAUGGGGAGGAAGCCACACAGUAGAGUAUACUUGCAAAUAAUAGAAAGGUCAAUCUAGUACAGACUUAAGAUGUACUAUUUAUGUAAGCUAUGUUAACAGUAAAAAUACAAACCAAAAUGAAACAGGCGAGGAGAGUUGUGGCUCAGUACUACUCGCCUGGCAACGCUGCACGGACAAUCAUUUAAAAAUGCUGAUGUGGAAAGAUGGCUAUCGUAGGCCUUGAAGUGAUAUUUACAAGAUAAUCCUAAUUUUGCUUUAAAAAAAAAAAACCUCAGUAUGUAUUUGUGUGCACUUACUAAGGUGUUAGUGCCCUGCAGCUGUCAGGGUGCUGGAUCACCUUGCCUGUCUAUUUGUGACCUUAAAUGUUCAGUGAAAAUGUGUGACAGUGGAGAAUAAUAAAAUAUAUUUUGUAAAUCUGGUUGCUUGCAUAAAAUGAGUAUUCUGUUGAGGAAAGAAAAGGUGGCACGUCAAUAAAUCAAAAAAUAAAAAUAUUCAGAAAUCAGGCAUUCUGGGUAGAAGAUAUUUUCUCUAGAUUUCAAUUAAAUAUGAAUGUUUGUUUCUGUUUUUAAAAAUAUGUACGAAUUUUACUUGUCUAAAAUAAAAUUUAAAAGAAA